rnacentral:sRNA from 1 species
UCUACUCCUAUUCCAUUUUUAGGUUGAAAGUAGCAACAUUCUUUAAAAGUUUCUCUUAACUUAAUUCAUUAAUUUGGUUUUGUAAGGACUGAAAUAUUUCUCAUAAAGUUUCCAACCUGCUGCUAAUUGCAUGUGUUUGGUGUGGUCGUGUUCUCCUUGAAGUUCCGUUCUCUUGGCCAUAGAAUUGACCCAUUUUCCAUUUUCCCCUCAACCAGCAAAAGGGGAAGUGAGAGGGCCAGGAGUGUAAAACAUUCGCUAGAUUCAAAUGCCGGCUGCUCCACUUAACUUGGCCAUUAGCAGAACGCAUAAAUUAUGCUUAUCAUUGGGUAUUAUAUGCACAUGUUCCGUUCGCCUGCUGCAUUGGGAGUUUUUAGUGCCUCAUAAUUGCAAUGGUCCACAACGGUGCCGUAAAACGAGUCAUUUGGAGGAGCAGUUAACCAGGCGGAUACCAUAAACUGCACAUGGUUGGCAGCCAAAAGGGAUGCAUAAUCGGCAAUUGGAUUUAAUGCACUUCCAGCUGCAGCAGCUUCCGUUUCAAUUUAGAUCCUAAAUGGGCUUAGGAUUAAUAUUUAAUGAGUGAAUGCAUGUUGCAUGAGUGAAUUAUUUACCCGAAUCUAAUAUGCACGCUGAAAUGACAACUAAUUUGGCUAAAUUGUGAAAGUCGCCUGGAGAAUUAGAGACUUCCAAUGUUGGGUUAAUGAAAUGUGGAUAUAUUUUUACACCUAUAAAAUAAAAUUAUGCUUAUGCUGUAUGCUGAUCCAA